rnacentral:rRNA from 1 species
ACGCUGGCGGCAGGCCUAACACAUGCAAGUCGAGCGGUAGAGAGAAGCUUGCUUCUCUUGAGAGCGGCGGACGGGUGAGUAAUGCCUAGGAAUCUGCCUGGUAGUGGGGGAUAACGUUCGGAAACGGACGCUAAUACCGCAUACGUCCUACGGGAGAAAGCAGGGGACCUUCGGGCCUUGCGCUAUCAGAUGAGCCUAGGUCGGAUUAGCUAGUUGGUGGGGUAAUGGCUCACCAAGGCGACGAUCCGUAACUGGUCUGAGAGGAUGAUCAGUCACACUGGAACUGAGACACGGUCCAGACUCCUACGGGAGGCAGCAGUGGGGAAUAUUGGACAAUGGGCGAAAGCCUGAUCCAGCCAUGCCGCGUGUGUGAAGAAGGUCUUCGGAUUGUAAAGCACUUUAAGUUGGGAGGAAGGGUUGUGGAUUAAUACUCUGCAAUUUUGACGUUACCGACGGAAUAAGCACCGGCUAACCCUGUGCCAGCAGCCGCGGUAAUACAGAGGGUGCAAGCGUUAAUCGGAAUUACUGGGCGUAAAGCGCGCGUAGGUGGUUUGUUAAGUUGGAUGUGAAAUCCCCGGGCUCAACCUGGGAACUGCAUUCAAAACUGACUGACUAGAGUAUGGUAGAGGGUGGUGGAAUUUCCUGUGUAGCGGUGAAAUGCGUAGAUAUAGGAAGGAACACCAGUGGCGAAGGCGACCACCUGGACUAAUACUGACACUGAGGUGCGAAAGCGUGGGGAGCAAAC